ACUUUUAGUCUACCCUGAACAAGCUUAAUCCCGUCUGAUAUCUCAGAAGCUAAGCAGGGUCAAGCCUGGUUAGUACUUGAAUGGAAGACCACCUAGAAAGACCAAGUACUGUAGGCG
rnacentral:rRNA from 1 species